rnacentral:rRNA from 1 species
GACGAACGCUGGCGGCGUGCCUAAUACAUGCAAGUAGAACGCUGAAGGAGGAGCUUGCUUCUCUGGAUGAGUUGCGAACGGGUGAGUAACGCGUAGGUAACCUGCCUGGUAGCGGGGGAUAACUAUUGGAAACGAUAGCUAAUACCGCAUAAGAGUAGAUGUUGCAUGACAUUUGCUUAAAAGGUGCAAUUGCAUCACUACCAGAUGGACCUGCGUUGUAUUAGCUAGUUGGUGGGGUAACGGCUCACCAAGGCGACGAUACAUAGCCGACCUGAGAGGGUGAUCGGCCACACUGGGACUGAGACACGGCCCAGACGCCUACGGGAGGCAGCAGUAGGGAAUCUUCGGCAAUGGACGGAAGGCUGACCGAGCAACGCCGCGGGAGUGAAGAAGGUUGUCGGAUCGUAAAGCUCGGUUGUAAGAGAAGAACGAGUGUGAGAGUGGAAAGUUCACACUGUGACGGUAUCUUACCAGAAAGGGACGGCUAACUACGUG